UACGAAGGGGGGCUAGCGUUGCUCGGAAUCACUGGGCGUAAAGCGCACGUAGGCGACUUUCUAAGUCAGGGGUGAAAUCCUGGAGCUCAACUCCAGAACUGCCUUUGAUACUGGAGAGCUUGAGUCCGGAAGAGGUGAGUGGAACUCCGAGUGUAGAGGUGAAAUUCGUAGAUAUCGGGAAGAACACCAGUGGCGAAGGCGGGUCUCUGGACAGUUCCUGCACACUGAGGCAC
rnacentral:rRNA from 1 species